CCAAGGGUAUGCCUUAGGUAGCGGCGAGUGAAGCGGCAAAGCUCAAAUUUGAAAUCUGGCUCUUUCAGAGUCCGAGUUGUAAUUUGAAGAAGGUAUCUUUGGGUCUGGCUCUUGUCUAUGUUUCUUGGAACAGAACGUCACAGAGGGUGAGAAUCCCGUGCGAUGAGAUGAUCCAGGCCUAUGUAAAGUUCCUUCGAAGAGUCGAGUUGUUUGGGAAUGCAGCUCUAAGUGGGUGGUAAAUUCCAUCUAAAGCUAAAUAUUGGCGAGAGACCGAUAGCGAACAAGUACAGUGAUGGAAAGAUGAAAAGAACUUUGAAAAGAGAGUGAAAAAGUACGUGAAAUUGUUGAAAGGGAAGGGCUUGAGAUCAGACUUGGUAUUUUGUAUGUUACUUCUUCGGGGGUGGCCUCUACAGUUUAUCGGGCCAGCAUCAGUUUGGGCGGUAGGAGAAUUGCGUUGGAAUGUGGCACGGCUUCGGUUGUGUGUUAUAGCCUUCGUCGAUACUGCCAGCCUAGACUGAGGACUGCGGUUUAUACCUAGGAUGUUGGCAUAAUGAUCUUAAGUCGCCCGUCUUGAACCACGGACCAAA
rnacentral:rRNA from 1 species